rnacentral:rRNA from 1 species
GUAGGGUCCGAGCGUUGUCCGGAAUUACUGGGCGUAAAGAGCUCGUAGGUGGUUUGUCGCGUUGUUCGUGAAAACUCACAGCUUAACUGUGGGCGUGCGGGCGAUACGGGCAGACUAGAGUACUGCAGGGGAGACUGGAAUUCCUGGUGUAGCGGUGGAAUGCGCAGAUAUCAGGAGGAACACCGGUGGCGAAGGCGGGUCUCUGGGCAGUAACUGACGCUGAGGAGCGAAAGCGUGGGGAGCGAACAGG